rnacentral:sRNA from 1 species
CCGUCUCAGAAACAGUGCCUAAACAAGC